CCUAAUGUCUAAUUCAUCUCUCUCUUCCCCUCUCGGUUCUUCACCUUUUCUCACUCCUGCGCCGCCUGACCUCCAUCGCUCGACUCACUCCCAUCUCCUUCUCGGCCUCAGUCACGCCGCCUCACCUCCAUCGCCGGUCGCCUUCUCCAAUUCGCUAGCCCGCCCGCCGCCGGAGAAAUCGGGAAUAGCAGCAGCAGUGCAGCACACUCCAGUUCGUGCGACUCCAACUGCUUCACUCCAAUCGCCGGUCUCCUUCUCCAAUUCGUCUGCCUGCCGCCGGCGAAGGCGGGAACAGCAGCAGCACGCUCCGGUUCGUGCGACUCCAGUCCAAUUUUCCUCUCGAUCACUCCAGUUCGGCUCGCCGCCAGACUCCACCGUUGCCGUCGUUCAGCCAUGAGCUUGUCUACCACAGGAUGCUCUGAAUCAAAUGGUCCCCUGCUAUACAUUACAGGUGGUUCUCGUUUUACAUUAGCUUGCGAGUUAGUAGACUCGUAUUUUACCACUUGCUCAAGCAUUAGUGUUUCUUUUUCACACAAUGAGGUGAUCCCUAUAUGUUUCCUAUCUCAGCAUACUCUGGAGGAAUCACGAGAGGCCUAGAUGUUACUUACUUGUGAUUAAUGACUUUUAUUCUUAGGAAAUAUAAUUUGGAUUGGGGAAGACUUGUUCUCGUAGACUUAUGGAUUGAGAUUUGUUUAUUUUGAUAAUUUGAUGACUUGAUUUUCAUGAUGGAUAUUAAAUGUUGUUGAUUUUGUACAAUAUUUUUCAUGAUGGAUUUUAAAUGUUGUUGAUUUUGUGAAUUUAUUUUUGAAUUUAAUUUGAAAACAGUAGAUCCAUGGAUCUAGACCCGCAGAUUCGUGGAUCUGACGGAUCGGGAUCUGGAUCCAAAUUUUUUAGAUCCGCGGAUCUGGAUCCGGAUCUGGAUCUGGUAUAUGAAAACGGAUCUGGAUCUGGUAUUGGCCAGACCCGGUGCAGAUACGGCCCGUUGCCAUCCCUAGUUGUACCCUUCAUCCAUUUUUCACCCUUUGAAUUAUCAUUUUGUAAGGCAUAUAAUGACAUCGUUUUGUAUAAUGUAGGCUAAAAAAAUAAUGAUUUUAAAUAUAUCAUGGCAUCCAGCGAGCCACGUCAAAUUUUCGGAUAUUUUUUUUUGAAAGAAUGGUACAAUUGAUACAAAAUUGAUAGUUCAAGUUUUUUAAAAAAUAUUUUUGAUAGCUCAAGAUAUGAUUAAUAGUGCAAAAAUAGUUUGAGGUUUAAAGUGAUAUUUACUCAAAUAACUAUAGGAGAAUCCUUUGAGAUGCACAUGUGACGAGCCCAUUUUUUUUGCUCUUUUUGUACGUCAUUUAGGUUUAGAUCGACUCUUUUUUUCGUGCAUUUUUGUGUCUGGGAGGACAUAUGUUAUGCAACAGGACACGUGAACAGGAUCUUGGUCAAAGCAGACUGUAUUAUGCAAAAAAAAGCAAGGAUUUGAAGAUCAUUCAUGGGCACAACACUCAUGCACCUUUUGCCAAAACCAAGUACCGUGUGGAAUCCAAUCAUGUUUAAGGGCAAAGUCAUGAAGCAUACUUUGAGCAAAAUUUGGGCAAAGACGAGCUGGACUUUAAGCGAAAAUUGAAAAAAGCGGCACACUCCAUCAGCAGAAGGAAUGAAGAAGACAGAUAUCUUAUUACUUUUUAUAGGGAGAUCCGAUGCGAUUACUUGUCAAAGAAUGAAGAUGCAUAUCCGAUUGGGUUGAUCAUACAAGGCAACAAAUCUUGCAACCCUAGUCUGCAGCCCAAGGUCCACUAUACCCUCUAUAUAAAGUUGCACAUCCCUAAGACUAAAAGAAGCAUUUAAUCUUGAGAUAGCUGAAAAAUUCACAAUGGUAAUCGUUGGAGUACUUUAGGUCGCCGUGACUGCUGCCAUGGCUUAGUUUAGUUUAUAUUUAUUUUGUUUUUAUUUGUUACGAUAGAUGUGUUGGUGUCCACCAUAGAUUGUUUUAACUCUAGUACUUGUUUAUUUUAGUUCAAGUAUGUUCUAUUUUA